rnacentral:rRNA from 1 species
GUAGGGAAUCUUCCACAAUGGACGAAAGUCUGAUGGAGCAACGCCGCGUGAGCGAAGAAGGUUUUCGGAUCGUAAAGCUCUGUUGCCGGAGAAGAACAGGUAUGAGAGGAAAUGCUCAUGCCGUGACGGUAUCCGGCCAGAAAGCCACGGCUAACUACGUGCCAGCAGCCGCGGUAAUACGUAGGUGGCAAGCGUUGUCCGGAAUUAUUGGGCGUAAAGCGCGCGCAGGCGGCUUCUUAAGUCUGAUGUGAAAUCUUGCGGCUCAACCGCAAGCGGCCAUUGGAAACUGGGGAGCUUGAGUACAGAAGAGGAGAGUAGAAUUCCACGUGUAGCGGUGAAAUGCGUAGAUAUGUGGAGGAAUACCGGUGGCGAAGGCGGCUCUCUGGUCUGUUACUGACGCUGAGGUGCGAAAGCGUGGGGAGCAAACAGGAUUAGAUACCCGUGUAGUCC